GCGAGCGAGCGGGAUGAGCCCAGAUUUGAAAGCUCCCGGUGUGGGCCGGGCGCAUUGUAAGCUGGAGACGUGCCUCGAGCGGCGCGGCUGGACCCAAGUCUGCUGGAAAGCAGCAUCAGAGAGGGUGAGAAUCCCGUGCUUGGUCUGGCUGGCUGGCGCCGUGCUGUGGGGUGCGCUCGACGAGUCGCGUUGUUUGGGAAUGCAGCGCAAAAUGGGUGGUAAACGCCAUCGAAGGCUAAAUAUGGGGGAGAGACCGAUAGCGAACAAGUACCGUGAGGGAAAGAUGAAAAGCACUUUGGAAAGAGAGUUAAACAGUACGUGAAAUUGCCAAGAGGGAAGCGCUGGCAGUCAGUGCCGCAGCUGGUCUCGUUGCGAUGGGGCCAGUGGGGGCCCGCGUCGGUUGUGGAUGGCGGCAGAGAAGGCAGUGUGGGAAGGUGGCUUGGGCGCGCAUGCGGCCAGGUGGUUAUAGCCCCGCUGUGGAUCUGCCGCUGGCGACCGAGGAACGCCUCUGUGCGAGGAGGACGCGGGCUUAAUGGCUUUCAGCGGCCCGUCUUAACAC
rnacentral:rRNA from 1 species